rnacentral:tRNA from 1 species
CUUUAGCUCAGUUGGUAGAGCAAUGGACUGUUAAUCCAUGUGUCACUGGUUCAAGCCCAGUAA